rnacentral:rRNA from 1 species
GACGAACGCUGGCGGCGUGCUUAACACAGGAAAGUCGAACGGAAAGGCCCUGCUUUUGUGGGGUGCUCGAGUGGCGAACGGGUGAGUAACACGUGAGUAACCUGCGCUUGACUUUGGGAUAACUUCAGGAAACUGGGGCUAAUACCGGAUAGGAGCUCCUGCUGCAUGGUGGGGGUUGGAAAGUUUCGGCGGUUGGGGAUGGACUCGCGGCUUAUCAGCUUGUUGGUGGGGUAGUGGCUUACCAAGGCUUUGAGGGGUAGGCGGCCUGAGAGGGUGACCGGGCACAUUGGGACUGAGGUACGGCCCAGACCCCUACGGGGGGCAACAGGGGGGAAUAUUGCACAAUGGGGGGAAGCCUGAUGCAGCAACGCCGGGGGCGGGAUAAACGCCUUCGGGGUGUAAACCGCUUUCACCUGUGACGAAGCGGGAGUGACGGUAAUGGGUAAAGAAGCACCGGGUAACUACGUU